rnacentral:rRNA from 1 species
UUGGCAAAAGUGGCGGACGGGUGAGUAAUAUAUCGGAACGUGCCCAGUAGCGGGGGAUAACUACUCGAAAGAGUGGCUAAUACCACAUACGCCCUACGGGGGAAAGGGGGGGAUUCUUCGGAACCUCUCACUAUUGGAGCGGCCGAUAUCGGAUUAGCUAGUUGGUGGGGUAAAGGCUCACCAAGGCAACGAUCCGUGCCUGGUUUGAUAGGACGACUGCCACGCUGGGACUGAGACACGGCCCAGACUCCUACGGGAGGCAGCAGUGGGGAAUUUUGGACAAUGGGGGAAACCCUGAUCCAGCCAUCCCGCGUGUAUGAUGAAGGCCUUCGGUGUUGUAAAGUACUUUUGGCAGAGAAGAAAAGGUAUCUCCUAAUACGAGAUACUGCUGACGGUAUCUGCAGACAUAAGCACCGGCUAACUACGUGCCUAACUACGUGGUAAUACCUACGGUGCUAGCGUUAAUCGGAAUUACUGGGCGUAAAGCGUGUGUAGGCGGUUCGGAAAGAAAGAUGUGAAAUCCCAGGGCUCAUCCUUGGAACUGCAUUUUUAACUGCCGAGCUAGAGUAUGUCAGAGGGGAGGUAGAAUUCCACGUGUAGCAGUGAAAUGCGUAGAUAUGUGCGAGGAAUACCGAUAGGCGAAGGCAGCCCCCUGGGAUAAUACUGACUCUCAGACUGACGCUGCGUGCGCGAGCAAACUGGGAUUACAUACCCCUGGUAGUCCACGCCCUAAACGAUGUCAACUAGCUGUUGGGGCCGUUAGGCCUUAGUACGCGCAGCUAACGCGUCGAAGUUGACCGCCUGGGGGAGUACGGUCGCGAAGAUUAAAACUCAAAGAGAAGUUGACGGGAGACGCCGUCACAAGCGGUGGCAUCGACUGUGGAAUUAAAUUCGAUGGCAUCUAUUCAAA